rnacentral:rRNA from 2 species
GUCGAGCGGACAGAUGGGAGCUUGCUCCCUGAUGUUAGCGGCGGACGGGUGAGUAACACGUGGGUAACCUGCCUGUAAGACUGGGAUAACUCCGGGAAACCGGGGCUAAUACCGGAUGCUUGUUUGAACCGCAUGGUUCAAACAUAAAAGGUGGCUUCGGCUACCACUUACAGAUGGACCCGCGGCGCAUUAGCUAGUUGGUGAGGUAAUGGCUCACCAAGGCGACGAUGCGUAGCCGACCUGAGAGGGUGAUCGGCCACACUGGGACUGAGACACGGCCCAGACUCCUACGGGAGGCAGCAGUAGGGAAUCUUCCGCAAUGGACGAAAGUCUGACGGAGCAACGCCGCGUGAGUGAUGAAGGUUUUCGGAUCGUAAAGCUCUGUUGUUAGGGAAGAACAAGUACCGUUCGAAUAGGGCGGUACCUUGACGGUACCUAACCAGAAAGCCACGGCUAACUACGUGCCAGCAGCCGCGGUAAUACGUAGGUGGCAAGCGUUGUCCGGAAUUAUUGGGCGUAAAGGGCUCGCAGGCGGUUUCUUAAGUCUGAUGUGAAAGCCCCCGGCUCAACCGGGGAGGGUCAUUGGAAACUGGGGAACUUGAGUGCAGAAGAGGAGAGUGGAAUUCCACGUGUAGCGGUGAAAUGCGUAGAGAUGUGGAGGAACACCAGUGGCGAAGGCGACUCUCUGGUCUGUAACUGACGCUGAGGAGCGAAAGCGUGGGGAGCGAACAGGAUUAGAUACCCUGGUAGUCCACGCCGUAAACGAUGAGUGCUAAGUGUUAGGGGGUUUCCGCCCCUUAGUGCUGCAGCUAACGCAUUAAGCACUCCGCCUGGGGAGUACGGUCGCAAGACUGAAAACUCAAAGGAAUUGACGGGGGCCCGCACAGCGGUGGAGCAUGUGGGUUUAAUUCGGAAGCAACGCGAAGAACCUUACCAGGUCUUGACAUCCUCUGACAAUCCUAGAGAUAGGACGUCCCCUUCGGGGGCAG